rnacentral:rRNA from 1 species
AACGAACGCUACCGACAGGCUUAACACAUGCAAGUCUAACGCAUCCUUCGGGGUGAGUGGCAGACGGGUGAGUAACGCGUGGGAACGUGCCCCUCAGUUCGGGAUAACCCAGGGACACUUUGGCUAAUACCGGAUACGUGCGAGAGCAGAAAGAUUUAUCGCUGAAGGAUCGGCCCGCGUCUGAUUCGCUAGUUGGUGGGGUAAUGGCCCACCAAGGCGACGUUCACUAGCUGGUCUUAGAGGAUGAUCAGCCACGUUGGGACUGAGACACGGCCCAAACUCCUACGGGAGGCAGCAGUGGGGAAUAUUGGACGAUGAGCGCAAGCCUCAUCCAGCCAUGCCGCGUGAGUGAUGAAGGCCUUAGGGUUGUAAAGCUCUUUAGUCCGGGACGAUAAUGACGGUACCGGAAGAAGAAGCCCCGGCUAACUUCGUGCCAGCCGCCGCAGUAA